CGAUAUGACUAAAAGUCAGUUUUACACUUCCCCAUAUAUUUAAUUAGUAUGAUAUAACAGUUGUUUUAGUAGUCAUUGUUCCACUUACAUUCUUUUUUGUUGAAAGUAGGAUUAUAGAUGGAAAGGAGAGAAGAAUUAAAGGAGAAAUAGAGAGGGGAAGAAGGUAGAACAGGAGGAUUAUAGGGUGCUCUACGAUUCCCAUAUCUUCCAGAAAUUUGGCAGAAUUAUGAAGACGUGCCCUGAGGGAAACACGGAUAUACUUAGACUAGAGGUCUCUUCCUUUCUCUUCUUUUUGGAGUAAAAAGUAAGGGACACAAGCCCUGAAAAUGAUCAACUUGUUGAUUGAUAACAACCCCAAGUGGGUGGAGAUUUGUGUUUUAUUGGGUGAUACCUCCCCUUGAGAUUCUAAAACAUGGCUUGAAAAUGAGUGUCAAAUGGCUGUAUAAACAAAGUGAUUUAACUCCUAAAUGGAUGAGAAUUGAGCAAUGAGACUGCAGGGGGCAUGAUCUAGAUACCAAGACUGCUUCAAUAAGCUAAAAUUGUUAUAGUAACAAUAGCGUACCUUAUAAAUUUUGUUAAAUCUAAGAGGAUGCCAAAGAGUCCCUUCUAUAUCUAGAAUAACUUAAAGAAACACGAUGAUGUUUGGAAUAUAAACAUGUACUCCGGUAACUAUUUAGCCAUCUGCCCUCCCGCCAUGAAUUUAUAAUUUUUUUUAAAGCCACAAUCUACUUACCUUAUUUCCCAUGAUGCGAUGGUCUCUGUGCUGGAUCAUGAAUCCUGAAUUCCC